AGUGAACGCUGGCGGUAGGCCUAACACAUGCAAGUCGAACGGCAGCACAGAGGAGCUUGCUCCUUGGGUGGCGAGUGGCGGACGGGUGAGGAAUACAUCGGAAUCUACUCUGUCGUGGGGGAUAACGUAGGGAAACUUACGCUAAUACCGCAUACGACCUACGGGUGAAAGCAGGGGACCUUUGGGCCUUGCGCGAUUGAAUGAGCCGAUGUCGGAUUAGCUAGUUGGCGGGGUAAAGGCCAACCAAGGCGACGAUCCGUAGCUGGUCUGAGAGGAGGGUCAGCCACACUGGAACUGAGACACGGUCCAGACUCCUACGGGAGGCAGCAGUGGGGAAUAUUGGACAAUGGGCGCAAGCCUGAUCCAGCCAUACCGCGUGGGUGAAGAAGGCCUUCGGGUUGUAAAGCCCUUUUGUUGGGAAAGAAAUCCAGCUGGCUAAUACCCGGUUGGGAUGACGGUACCCAAAGAAUAAGCACCGGCUAACUUCGUGCCAGCAGCCGCCGUAA
rnacentral:rRNA from 1 species